GAUGAACGCUGGCGGCGUGCCUAAUACAUGCAAGUAGAACGCUGAAGCUUGGUGCUUGCACCGAGCGGAUGAGUUGCGAACGGGUGAGUAACGCGUAGGUAACCUGCCUCUUAGCGGGGGAUAACUAUUGGAAACGAUAGCUAAUACCGCAUAAAAGUCGAUAUCGCAUGAUAUUGAGUUGAAAGGUGCAAAUGCAUCACGAAGAGAUGGACCUGCGUUGUAUUAGCUAGGUGGUGAGGUAACGGCUCACCAAGGCGACGAUACAUAGCAGACCUGAGAGGGCGGUCGGCCACACUGGGACGGAGACACGGCCCAGACUCCUACGGGAGGCAGCCGUAGGGAAUCUUCAGCAAUGGGGGGAACACUGACCGAGCAACGCCGAGUGAGUGAAGAAGGUUUUCGGAUCGUAAAGGUCUGUUGUAAGAGAAGAAAGAGUGUGAGAGUGGAACGUUCACACUGUGACGGUAACUUACCAGAAAGGGACGGCUAACUACGUG
rnacentral:rRNA from 1 species